rnacentral:tRNA from 1 species
CCAUCGGUGGUUCAGUGGUAGAAUGCUCGUCUGCCACGCGGGCGGCCCGGGUUCGAUUCCAGACCGAUGCA